CCUACGGGAGGCAGCAGUAGGGAAUCUUCCACAAUGGAUGAAAGUCUGAUGGAGCAACGCCGCGUGAGUGAAGAAGGGUUUCGGCUCGUAAAGCUCUGUUGGUAGUGAAGAAAGAUAGAGGUAGUAACUGGCCUUGAUUUGACGGUAAUUACUUAGAAAGUCACGGCUAACUACGUGCCAGCAGCCGCGGUAAUACGUAGGUGGCAAGCGUUGUCCGGAUUGAUUGGGCGUAAAGCGAGUGCAGGCGGUUCAAUAAGUCUGAUGUGAAAGCCUUCGGCUCAACCGGAGAAUUGCAUCAGAAACUGUUGAACUUGAGUGCAGAAGAGGAGAGUGGAACUCCAUGUGUAGCGGUGUAAUGCGUAGAUAUAUGGAAGAACACCAGUGGCGAAGGCGGCUCUCUGGUCUGCAACUGACGCUGAGGCUCGAAAGCAUGGGUAGCGAACAGGAUUAGAUACCCUAGUAGUC
rnacentral:rRNA from 1 species